AAGGAGCCGCGCUUCCCGAUUGAAACGCUUUACGCACGUUACGCUUCGAAUGUUCUGCGCCUGCGCUGGCUGCUUCCUAUAUAUGUCAGCGAACAACGGAAGUGCGGUCUUUCACAGCGGUGCGGCCGAAGCGAAAUGGGACACGGGUUGCUGUGGAUACUUGAGCUUAUCCCAGUGGGAAGCAAAGAUCAUGAUCGGGAGAUGAUCCCCUUUCACUGAUGGGUCUGAACGUAAAACUUGGCUUUACAAUCAGUUAAAAGAAAUCAUGGGGCACCUCUAUAUACCUGCCCGAACUUAUUAGGGAGGCUGAAGCCUGACUGAAGGAACAAAGCAAGAAGUUCCGUGAGUCUCUGCUGAAGACGUCGUUACUCCCAUGUCCAGCCAGUGACACGUCUAUGGGCUAUGGAAGUUUCAGGAAUCUCUGCUGAAGGCGUUUACACCCAUAUCCAGCCAGUAAAUCUUCUAUGGACUAUGGAAGUUCCAUGACUUUCAGCUGAAGACGUCUUUACUCCAAUAUCCAGCCAGUGAUUAUGGGAUAUGAAAGUUCCAUGAUUCUCAGCUGGAGACGUCGUUACUCAUGUCCAGCCAGUGACACAUGUUUGUGAGUAACAGUAAUACCAGUCGAUCCAUGGGAACAAUAGAACAUAUUCCUCAUGGAUCGACAGUGUUGACUAAAACCUGAUUUAAGCCAAAUGAGUCUGAUGCAGAGAGUGGAUCCAGAUUCUUUAUGAACUUGGUUCUGAGCUUUACAUUGAACCCCGAGAUAAUUCCACUUUUCUUUGCAGCUGCACAAGGUGCAACACUGACAACUGACCAGUGGAUGGCGCUACAGAUACUAAAGUGUCUUUAAUUUGUUAAUAAAGAUUUCAUAUUCAACUUUAA